UUUUAUUAAAGGCCAACCUUCAUAAUAUCUCAAGUGGGACAAAAAACAUAAAAUGGACCCCAAAAAGUACAUGAAACACACCUUUUAGGUCCAUGGCAUUCACCAUGGAGGGGCGUGAAAUUUUCCAUGGGCCUCAUUAACCUGAACCAACCCAUUUUAAAUAGAUGGUGUUCGCCAUUGGUUCAUGGCGUCCGCCAUGAGCCUUGAACACCCUAAAAUCUGCAUUUUUGCCCUUUUUUCUCUCCCUUUUUCCAUUUAAACUUCCAUCCUUUCAACU
rnacentral:lncRNA from 1 species